rnacentral:rRNA from 1 species
GAUGAACGCUGGCGGCGUGCCUAAUACAUGCAAGUCGAGCGAACGGACGAGAAGCUUGCUUCUCUGAUGUUAGCGGCGGACGGGUGAGUAACACGUGGAGAACCUACCUAUAAGACUGGGAUAACUUCGGGAAACCGUAGCUAAUACCGGAUAAUAUUUUGAACAGCAUGGUUCAAAAGUGAAAGACGGUCUGGCUGUCACUUAUAGAUGGAUCCGCGCUGCAUUAGCUAGGUGGUAAGGUAACGGCUUACCAAGGCAACGAUGCAUAGCCGACCUGAGAGGGUGAUCGGCCACACUGGAACUGAGACACGGUCCAGACUCCUACGGGAGGCAGCAGUAGGGAAUCUUCCGCAAUGGGCGCAAGCCUGACGGAGCAACGCCGCGUGAGUGAUGAAGGUCUUCGGAUCGUAAAACUCUGUUAUUAGGGAAGAACAUAUGUGUAAGUAACUGUGCACAUCUUGACGGUACCUAAUCAGAAAGCCACGGCUAACUACGUG